UACGUAGGGUGCGAGCGUUGUCCGGAAUUAUUGGGCGUAAAGGGCUCGUAGGCGGUCCGUCACGUCGGGAGUGAAAACUUGGGGCUUAACCCCAAGCCUGCUUCCGAUACGGGCGGACUAGAGGUAGGCAGGGGAGAACGGAAUUCCUGGUGUAGCGGUGAAAUGCGCAGAUAUCAGGAGGAACACCGGUGGCGAAGGCGGUUCUCUGGGCCUUACCUGACGCUGAGGAGCGAAAGCGUGGGGAGCGAACAGG
rnacentral:rRNA from 1 species